CAAGCAAAGACAGUAUUAAUUUGUAAGUAUACAUUCGAAACUGAAUUUGAAUGUAUUUUCUUGCAUUCAGUUCUUGUAAUGUUAAAGUUUGUCCUUUUCAUUUUCAUUUUUUGCAAGUUAAUAUGAUCCCUCGUGAUGUUCAAGAGCAAUUGCAAGCCCAUUGGCACCAUAAGGUCAGUUUUUCGGAAAAGGCUCAGCAUAUA